GGGGGCGGUGCGGCGAGCGCGCGCGCGCGGCGGCGAUCAGCGUGGUGCUGGUGAACCUGCGCUUCUGAAGAUGAGUGUUUGGUGCAGCCUUCUGCGGGGAACACCCGCCCUGCCAGGGUCCUUGUCUCCUGCCUGCUGCCCACGCCGAGAGCUGGAGAAGCAGCAGGCUUGGCUGGCACCUGACCCCCGCUGCUCCCCUCCGCUGAAAUCUGGUGCCUGAGGACACCGAGUUACUUAAUCCAGGCUCCUGACCCCUCUUCUGGGCAGCGGGGCUGCUGCUCUUCAGUGUGGCAUCUCGCUACCCCCACCCCUCCGGAGAAUACACCCGCACAUUUCACCUUGCUGUGUCUGUGCCUGCAUCCCGAUUUUGUGUCAAACGUGACUUUGGGACAAGCGAGAGCUGGGACGAACUUCUGGGAGCACCCACCUGCAUCAGCAGGGCACCGCAGCACAUACCAGGGCUCAGCAAGCAGCGGGCUGAGCGACACGUUCACAACCCUCCUCUGCUUCCAGGGGAGAUUUAGUAUGUAAAGCAGGAAAAAACCCCAUGACUCCCAAACUGCACUUCCCCCUCCAAAAAAACCCCAAUCACCAAACCCACCCAGACACUCUGUUUGCCAGACCAGGCAGUAGAUGCCCCUACCCUGCUGACAUCUUAUCAUAGGGGGUUUUUUGGGUCCACUGAUGCUGGGGGGCAGGGGACAAGUCCAGAGUGAAGCCCCAGCUCUGCAUUUGCCUGUUCCAUUCCCAGUGUUCCAGACCUGCAGCCGCCCCUCUUCCCUGGUUCCUCUUGCCUGUCUGCACCACACAGCAGGGCUGGUGGGCAGCCCCCCACCCUGGGCAGGCACACCCCAGCCCCUCUGCUGCCAUUUCCACGUCUCUGCAAUUGCUGAUAGCUGUAGAGCUUUAUGUGCUCCCCAUCUUUGCAGGGUUUGAUUGUCAUGUGGCUCCUCCCUGCAAAUGGCACGUUUUUAGGUGGUUCUCCUGGAGGGAAAUGCGCUGGUGCCGAGCUGCCACUCCUGUGUAGGAUCAUAUCCUCCUUGGGAUCAGGGCCCUUUUAGUGUCAUGAAAUAUGUCUAAACUGAUGUGUAUUCUUCAGAUCAAAUCCUUAGAUCAAAAUGUGUCCAUUUCCAUGGAUGUUUUAAAUUUUUGUGGAAAUAUAUUUCUAAUGUUUAUAUUUUAUUAAUUUCAUUGCUGCAGCCUUUACUCAUUGGUGUAGUCUCUGACACAGGGGAAGCAGAGGUGUAUGCUGGCUUGCAUCUUUUUUCCCUGAUGGAAUAGGUACCCUUCACAUUAGUACAUUAGCAUCUUUUUCUCCCAGAAAACUCUUGAAGCUUUAACCUUGCAGUUUCCUGCUAUGUAAUCAAAAAGCUGUGUUUUUCCUGCUAGAAAUUUCUCAUAGGAACUUGUCUCUCUGACAUGAUCCACUUACUGUUUUUUCCUUGUCAAGUGCAGGCUUGUUUUUCAAUAAAAAUAAAAGCAGAGAGCUAAUUCUGAAAUCCUUAGUCAGACAAAGCUUGCACUGAAAUCAAGGGGAGUCUUGUCUUGGUGUAAAGAUUGCAGGUUGAGGAUCAAAAUCAUUAUAAUAAAACAUUGUCGCGGGAGCAGCAUCUCCCACUUCAAAAAUAAACAUCUUUGCUCCAGUUAGCUAUUUAUGUAGCUGCAGGAGACUAUUGAUUUAGGAAAGCUUUCUGGUGCACAGAUGCUCUAAACCCUUAGCACUACUAAGAAGCAGCAAAGCUCGGGAGGAGCAGGUUGCAAAAGAAGUAUACUGCAAAA